GCAAAAUUAGAUAGUGCUAAUACCACACCUCUCUUUGGAGAUUGUGAGAAUGUUAUUUGGCAAUAACAAAAUGUUCUUAUCAGAUAGACUUCCUGCCUCUGCUGGCCAGCCCUGCAGACCCCUGGUUAACCUCAGAAUGAACUUUUCUUCAACUCUCACACUGUGUGGUCUGAUAAACAAGAAAGGCAACUUUUGACAGAGCCACUUUGGUGACAAGGUACAAAUGUAGGAGGUGAAUGAAUUGAUCCCUUCCUUAUUUUAAAUCAUAAGAUACAGAACUCCCUGGGAUUUUUCAGAGAAAUAUUUCCAAUCAGGCCUUAAAACCAGGUUCUUUACAAUUCCAAUAGCUGGUAGGGCCUUAGCUAGGUGGAGGUAUGGGAUAGAUACUUGAAUCAAUUUCCCUAUUCUUGGAAUAAAGACUUCAUACAGGUACAUUUUUUUUCCUCUUUAUUGGCCUUAACAAGCUGUUAAGUACUUUAGUUUUAAUUCUUUGGGAUUUCUUUUGCUAUUAUCAGAAAAAACUUCAAAUAGUUUGUUUAACCUUUUCUUUUCUUAAAAUGUUGGUGGUUGAAGAUGUGGAUAUUUUUGAGCUCUGAGAUACUGGUUUUCAUUUCUAACCUAGUCGUUCUUUUUAUAUGGAAUAUUUCCCAAAAGUGUUUAGCAGAAUGAUUGUUACACAAGCACACAUCAUGUGGUCAGAUGACUUUGGAGUUCUGGGUUAAAUGAGAACAGUUCUUUCUUAAGGAUAUCUCAAAGGCUUGGAUACAUUAUAUGUAGUGUUAUUCUUUCAGAGGAGGUUCUGGUAUUUUUUCUAAAUAAAUCUGGGGUGCAUCCUGAGGUACUUGUUCUAUGAACCACUCUAUGGAUCAUAGCCCUUUGGCAUGGAACUGCUCUGGUGUUUACUUUCUAUGUGUUUUCAUCUUGAGACCUUGACUAAGACCUGGAUUAGGGACUUCUAAACCUGGGGUUGUGAAUCAUUAGACUAUCAAUGUAAUAAGUUAAGAUCAAAAUUAAAAAAUGAAACAGAAUACUACAAAAUAGAAUAUGAUAGUAUAAAUUGAAUGGAAAAAAUAGAAAAAUAGGUGUUGGUUUGUGAAAUUUUUGUUAGAGAUAUGCACUAAAUUUACCUAUCUAGAUAUAGGAUUGCUGCAUAUAAUGUAAUUUUGACUGUGAGUAAUGGUCAAAGAGGAAAAAAAGCUAUUCUAGAUUAUAGUCAUAUCUUUACUAAGCCUCACAGUGUUAACCACAGUCAUGAUUCUGUAGGGGGUAAUUUUAGUUAAAGAGGCCUCACCCAUAUGACUACAGGAGAAAGAUAACUUAUAAUUAUUCCUACCUCCAAAAUAAUUGUAACUCCUAAGCUUUCAAACAGGAGUAGUCAGUUUCUAGCUUCCGUGUGAGAACUGGUCUUUGAUUUGGUUUCUGAAGUCCAUAGCAAAUGUGCCAAUAUGUGGUCUCAUUUAUGACCACAACAACAUGAAAAAAAAACAAAACAAAAACAACAUUUCAAGGCUUCUAGUGACAGUAUUCUUGGAACUUGGGAGGUAAUCGCUAAAAGUGGUUCUUUGUCUGAGAUACAGAUGGCAUUUCCCAACUAUACAGUAAGUAGAUUGAUGUAAUUACUGUGAGUUCAACCUGGAUUAUCCAGGUGAACCCUAAGUCCAAUGAAGAGUGUUCUUAUAAGAGAAUCAGAGGACAAACACACAGAAGAGGAACUAUGUGAACUCAGAGACAGAGAUUGGAGUGAUGUGGCCACAAAACAAGGAUUGCCAACAGCUGCCAGACACCAGGAGUGCCAAGGCACAGAAGCCAUACCCCAGUCCCCUGAGGGAGUGCAGCCUGCUGACCCCUGCAUGUUAGACUUCCCAUCUCCAGACUGAGAGGAUCAUCUUCCCUUGUUCUCAGCCAUACAGUUUGUGGUCAUUUGCUAUGGUAGCCCCAGGAUAUUGAUAUGGGGGAGGAGCACCUAGAGGAGAAUGCUUGUCAAAACCUCAGACACCUGGAGCUGCUUCUGAGUCAGAUCUGGCUGGUGUUUCCCAGGAGCCAGCUCUGAGUGGUGGAAUGGGGAGGCCUUUUACCCCUGGAUGGAAUGUAUGGCCCCACAUGAGGUUGCUUACAGUCUUUGACAACAUCCCUGGACACAUAGAAUAUGAGAAUAUGAACUGUUCUUGUUCUCCCAGGUCACAGAGGCAGAGUGCUGCACCUGGCCUUGAGUCCAGACCAGACCCAGGUGUUUUCUGCUGCAGCUGAUGGGAUGGCCACCGUGUGGAAGUGCUGCCAGUCACCCAACCCUUCCUAGAUGCAGUUUCUUCCUUUUAAGUGAGAGUAGUGAUACUGGUUUUUGUUCUCCACGUGAUUGUUAUGAGUAUCCAACAUGAUGAGGGCUCUUUCCAGUGUGAACGCCUGCUCCUCUGACCUUCUCUCUCAGGCUACUUUAUUAGCCCUGCUUCUUUCUUUGCAUCUCCUAGAGAUCAUCUCUCUGCUUCUCUCUGCUUCCCUCUCCCUCCUUCCUUCUCUUCCCUCCUCCCAGACUUCCUCCUUCUCUGCCUUCUCUUUAUCUCUUCCUUUUUAAAGAUCUAUUUUCACUGCUGAAGUCAGAAUAAUAUAUAUAGCAAACCUUGGUUCUUUCCCAUCCGACUUUUCCCUUAAGUUCCAAAUUCAUAUUUCUUAGUGCUUCAGAUAUUUCCUUUUUGAAAGAGUUAAAUCUUUAGCUCAAACUCAACCCAUUCACUUGAAAAAUUCUUAUUAAAAUCCUCCUACAUGCUGUGUGUUAUA
rnacentral:lncRNA from 1 species